AAAGUCAAAUCUGUCAAAGAUUUAGUCAACAAUGCACAAUAUAUUAUUUAUUUGGUUCUUAUGAUAUAUCGAAGAAAUUAAGUUUUCAAGCCUUAAUUGAAGACUACAUUAACGUCACUAUUUUGUUAUUGUUAUUAUUAUUAUUGUUACAGUUUCAGUCAUUAUAGUUCUGGAUUAACUAUGAUGAAAAUGAAGCAGGUUUAAAGGGAAAACUAACAUAAGGUCUUCACAUAUAAAACACAGGUAACCAGUCCGGCCGAUACAGACUGCUGUUCUGAUCUAACAACUUCUGUCAAAUCAUCAACUGUGUCAUGUGAUCAUGAGAGGGUCGAGUCAAAGCUUAGAGAACUCGUUCCUGUUAUUUCAUAUGUGAGCACUUUUAAUACAAAUAUGUUGUUCUAAAGAUAAAUUUCAGUUAAUUUCUUUUCAAAUGUAUGCUUUUAUUUUGAAAGCAAAGUUGCAUCACUGCCGGUUUAAUUUUUUUCUUCUCUUUGACACAUGAAACACCUGAGAAACACCUGCAGGUGAAAUAUUUAUUUCAGACCGACAAUUCUGAGAGUUUUUAUCAAGUUUAGUCCUUAAAACAGAUAAAGUGGUUAUUGUAGGUGAUUUCAAUAUUCAUGUGGACGUUGAUAAUGACAGCCUUAGUACUGCGUUUUGUCAUAGUUAGCCACAUCUCUCCUCCUAUCCUUGUGCGCUCUAGUGUUGCUCUCCUCUCCUGGUGUUCCUUGUCAGUCCUCUGUUCGUCACUGUGUGUGUAUGUGUGUGUGGGCGUACUGGGCUGGGCGGGCGCCCUGGUUCACCUCCUGCUGCUGAUCACCGGCACACCUGACGUUCAUCAUCCAAUCGGUCUCCACAGUAUCACAGUAUAUCCACCUGGCUCUACCUCACAACCAGCGCCAGAUUGUCUCCAUACUAUCAGUUAUUCCCUGCCGGUGAUCGCAGCCACCGUGUCCUCUCUGAUCUCUGCAAUGCCGCUUCCCUGUUCUGCCUGCCACGAUACACGAGCCAUAUCCAGAAGCCCCACCCAGCACCUACGCCCUUGGAACCCAGCCGGUGCUCCACGGACUGUGCUGGUAGACUGCACUCCUGUCCCCAGCAAACUACACCUGUCCCCCCCCUGCCCGCUCUGGAAGAGUGCUCAGCAACCAGUACUGGUGUACAAAUAAAAACUGUUAAAACCUA